rnacentral:tRNA from 1 species
GCCUCUGUAGCUUAGUGGUAUAGCGUUACAUUGGUAAUGUAAAGGUCGCGGGUUCAAUUCCCGCCAGGGGCU